rnacentral:misc_RNA from 1 species
UCUUUUUCUUUUUUUUUUUUACCUAUAUUGUCAUUGAUAGAAAUAUGAACUGAGCAAUCCUUGAUAAAAUAGUACACAAUCUUAAAUGUUGAAACAGUGAGAACUGCACUGUUUGUUUUUGCUGUCACUAUGUAUAAUUCAUGAAUAAACUCUCGGAAUGAUAUAUUGUGUGAUCAGUUUCAUAUUUCAUGAAUAAAUUCUCGGAAUGAUAUAUUGUGUAAUUAGUUUCAUGUUGUUGAUGGGCAUUUCUUCUUGUAUUCAGG